UAUUUUGUAAUGACGAAGAACAGUAAUAAUGAAAAUCUUUUAAGAGAGAUUGUGAUAGGUGAAAACAAUUAAGGUUUAAUUAUGAAGGAGCUUCUGAGCAAGAAUUGAUAAAGCAGGGCUUGUGCCAAGAAGGGUGGAACCGCGGAAAUAAGUUUUCGUCCCUUUA
rnacentral:ncRNA from 1 species